AAUUCCAAAGAUCAAUAAAGAUCAAGAGGCCCUCUGGGCAAAGGGCCUGUUCAGUGUGGACUUGAUCACAGGCUGCUGGCCAGCGGGGAAGAUGGAAGUCGCCGGCUUGACUGAGACAUUCACCCCAGCCUUAGAUUUAGGGCAGGACCCUCUCACUGUGUGGUCACCCUUUAUUUUCUCAGCUCUUAUUUAAAAAGAAGAAGAAAAAAAGAAUGUCUGGACAACAGCUAAGGCAGGCAUCCAGAAAUAGGAACACUUUUCUUAGAACACAGCCCAGAUGCAAACAUCAGGAGCAGACACUGCCCAGAUGGCGGCUUUACCCCAGCUGGACUCCUCUGAGGCUUUGGUGGUGGACAGCCCUGUGCCGCAAGCUGGAGUAAGCCGAUUCUCCCCAUGGGGGAAGCAGGCCUGGAAAUGUAGCAGUGUGCCUCAUGGAAAUGUAGCAGUGUGCCUCAUGGAAAUGUAGCAGUGUGCCUCAUGGAAAUGUAGCAGUGUGCCUCAUGGAGCUGACCUUCCCAUGUAACCUAGCAAGCCCUUGAAAAGGAGAGAAAAAAGUAAUGGGGAAAGGUAGCCUCCCUGUGGUAGUUUUAAAAUGUCUGCAAAUUCUUCUCUCCAAGAGGUGGAACUGAAUUUACCUCCCCUUGAGUACGGGCUGUACUUAGUGACUCACUUCUAACAAAGUCGGAAGUGAUGGCGUGUGGCUUCCAAGGGUAGGUCUUAAAAGACACUGCAAGCUCUGACCUGGGCUCCCUCUUCGAUCACUAGCUCUGGGGAAGCCAGCUGCCAUGCUAAAAAAGACACUCAAGCAGCCCCACGGAGAGGUCCACAACGCAAGGAGCUGAGUCCUCCCACCAACAGCCAGUGAGGAGCCGAGGCCUCCCACCUACAACCAGUGAGGAGCUGAGGCCUCCUGCCACAGUCACGGGAGUGAGCCUUGGAAGCAGAUCCUCCAGUGUCCGUCAGGCCUUCAGAAACUGCAGCCCCUGCUGACAUCUUGACUGAAACUUCAAAAUCAUCCAGCUAAGCUGCUUCCAAAUUCCCAGCUGGGAGAUGAUAAAUGUUUCAAGCUGCUAAGUUUCAGGGUAAUUUGUUACACAGCAACAGAUAACAAAUGCAUUCCCCCUAUCCCCCUGCUUUUCCAACUUUGAUCCAUUCCUCCUUCCUUCAUACUCACCAUACACCACAUAAUGGGGGAACAAGGAUGUAACAAGACAGGAUUCUGGGGAACUGAGCUCAAAAGGGAAAGUUCUAAUGAACAUUUGCUAUACUGAAGUGGAAGAAGCAAAAGCUUGUGAGCAGCACUGAGCCCGCACUUGCUUUACCUGGAAGUCCAAGCCCCACAUCAGUUUGUGCUUCUUCUGGCUGCCCAGACCCAGGUUAGGGGAGCUAGGAAUUUGGAGGGAAGGGUUAAGGGAGGCUGGCUGGACAUGCAG
rnacentral:lncRNA from 1 species